rnacentral:rRNA from 1 species
UACAGAGGUCUCAAGCGUUGUUCGGAUUCAUUGGGCGUAAAGGGUGCGUAGGCGGCGCGGUAAGUCGGGUGUGAAAUCUCGGAGCUUAACUCCGAAACUGCAUUUGAUACUGCCGUGCUUGAGGACUGGAGAGGAGACUGGAAUUUACGGUGUAGCGGUGAAAUGCGUAGAUAUCGUAAGGAAGACCAGUGGCGAAGGCGGGUCUCUGGACAGUUCCUGACGCUGAGGCACGAAGGCCAGGGGGAGCAAACGGG